GAAAAGAUAAACACUCUAUGAAU
rnacentral:snRNA from 1 species